CCUACGGGUGGCAGCAGUCGAGAAUCAUUCUCAAUGGGGGAAACCCUGAUCGUGCGACGCAGCGUGGGGGACUGAAGGUCUUCGGAUUGUAAACCUCUGUUAUGUGGGAGCAAAUUAUACAGCUAGUACCACAAGAGGUAUACACGGCUAACUCUGGUCCAGUAGCUGCGGUAAUACAGAGGCGUCAAUAGUUGUUCGGAAUCCUGGGGUCAAAGGUGUGCGUAGGCGGUCCUUUAAGGCAGCGGUAAAAUUGCGGGGCUCAACCCAUGCGAGCCGUUGAAACUGGCAGACGUGAGUUGGCGAGAAGUACGCGGAAUGCGUGGUGUAGUGGUGAAAUGCAUAGAUAUCGCGCAGAACUCCGAUUGCGAAGGCAGCGGACCGGCG
rnacentral:rRNA from 1 species